AUGGAGGCCUGGCUUGCCAGUCCUGUUUGGAUCCACCCACUGAGGUUGUGGCAGGAAGGGCCCUGCCCAAAGCCUUCGAAUCAGACCUCCAGGUGCCCUGUGACCAAGCACAUCCUCUCUGGCCUUGCUCAGCCUGGCUCUCGUUGCCACGAGGGCCUGGGGUCUGAUCCCUCGUCCGCCUACGUGCGGCAGCUGGAGACCAAGGUGAAGCUGCUGGAAGGUGACAAGCUCCUGGUGCAGGUAGGCUGGCUGCACCCCGAGGGCCGGGGCGGGCCCUGGCACCGCCCUCCGCUCCAGGGCCUGGCUUCCCAGCCCCAGGUGGCCUCUGUGGGUUCCUUCCUGCUUCGUGCCCCCAACGUCCCACCUGCCCUCCACUCCCGCCCAGAGUCACCUCCAGGGACACCUGCUCAGGAACCCCACAGCCUCCGGGCAUCCCUCCGUCAUGGCCGUCCCCCGUCUGUCCCCCCGGUGUCCUGCGAGCUCCUCGGGGGCCCGGAGAUGCUGUGGAACCCACACUUGCUGAAGAAGUGGGCUGCUUUGCCCCUCUGCUGGGUGCAUCCAAGGCCCGAUAGGCGGACAGGCUCGCCCGCGCUCAGACCCGUAGGGAAAUUUCCCUGGGCUUGCCGGGCCAGAUUCUUUACGGGCUGGGGUCUGCCCUCUGCCCUGCUGCCUGGCCUGGGGCCACAGAGAGCCGAGGCCAGGCCUGACCCUGGCCCGUCCCCAGCACGGGGACGACGGGUCGGGGAUGGGUGA
rnacentral:lncRNA from 1 species